GAAACAAAAGCCAGUCAGGUUAGCCAAGGAAACUGCCUGGUGUCCAAUUUUAGACAAUUUCAAAAGUUUGAAGUGAAAAGACAAGAAAACCCCUAAGAGUGGAGCUUCAGGCAAGUCAUCCUUGGCUAUCAAACAUGGACUUUUGCUU
rfam:Erythranthe guttata cultivar DTN x IM62 scaffold_3_contig_209, whole genome shotgun sequence.